AGUGAACGCUGGCGGUAGGCCUAACACAUGCAAGUCGAACGGCAGCACAGUAAGAGCUUGCUCUUACGGGUGGCGAGUGGCGGACGGGUUAGGAAUACAUCGGAAUCUACUUUUUCGUGGGGGAUAACGUAGGGAUACUUACGCUAAUACAUCAUACGACCUACGGGUGAAAGCAGGGGAUCUUCCGACCUUGCGCGAUUGAAUGAGCCGAUGUCGUAUUAGCUAGUUGGCGGGGUAAAGGCCCACCAAGGCGACGAUCCGUAGCUGGUCUGAGAGGAGGAUCAGCGACACUGGAACUGAGAGACGGUCCAGACACCUACGGAAGGCAGAAGUGGGGAAUAUUGGAAAAUGGGGGCAAUCCUGAUCAAGCCAUACCGCGUGGGUGAAGAAGGGCUUCGGGUGGUAAAGCCGUUUUGUUGGGAAAGAAAAGCAGCAGGUUAAUACCCCGCUGUUGUGACGGUACCCAAAGAAGAAGCACCGGCUAACUUCGUG
rnacentral:rRNA from 1 species